GCCUGGGUGGUGGAAUCGGUAGACACAAGGGACUUAAAAUCCCUCGGUCGCAAGGCUGUGCGGGUUCGAGUCCCGCCCCAGGCACCA
rnacentral:tRNA from 2 species